GACACAGAAUCCUUUAUAUCUGUUUUCCAAGAAUUUCACCCUGAAGUGACUUCUAAGUGUCAAGAUAGGGGAGACUCCACAAGAUUUAAAAUAAAAGAUUGUCCACCAAAAGAAAUAUGCAACCAAUUAUGAGGUUUGGUGCAAGAAGGCCCUUCAUCAGAAGCAGUGGCAGAUUUGGAUUUCUGUUGGGAUUUGCUGGUCAGUGAUGUCUCCCCAGGCUUUAGAAAAACAAAAACGAUUCAAACAAAAUCAUCUCUUAUACGUUCUUCAACCUGAGAACAGUGUGGCAAACUCUUCGUUAAGUCAAAAGAAGUACCUGUUGUUCUGGCUCCUUGACCUCUCUUUUAUGAAGUGAAUGAAGUCUUCUGGGAUAAACCACUUCAUAGUUCUUCACUCCAGAGAGUUCUUUUAUCGUGUUUACUGAGGAGGGAAAAAAAGAACUCACACGUUGGAUUACUUCUGGCCGGCAACACUAGAUCGAGAAAAAACAAAACUAUUAUUUUGGAUUGCCUGAGAUAAUUAUUUUACUGUAUAUUGGUUUUAGAAAAGCGAAUACUCAUUGGCAAGAUUAAUAUCACAGGCACUGGUCUGGAUUGCCACGUUCUGUUUUAAUGUGUUUGGGGGCAAUUUUGGAGUUUAGCACAUUUGUGUAUAAUAUUUGGCAUUUUCAUUUUUGAUCACAUCUGUUCCAAAUCGUUUAAAGAAUGUCUUUCCAAACUAAACACAUGACAUUAAGCCCUGGAUCAGAGUUUAUUCAAUAUUGACUUCAGAUCUGGGCUACGCUGCACCCCCUCAAACUCUGGCGAUUGGAAGCUUAGUGUAGUAAAAGUGACGACAAACAUCAAGGAAAAAAUGCAUCCUCAUUAAAUCUAUCAUUUUGGCUAUGAAGAUUAAAUUAUAAAUGCUCUUGAGGCUCAUC